GAGAAAAUGACUGUUUCAAUUUUUACAGUGAAUGAUUUAAAUAGAGAGCACCAGGAAACUAUCAGAAGAUCCUUCUCGAAAAAGAAAAGGAAGACUUGCACCUCCUUUCAUCUUCCCUCAGGAUCAACUCUUUGCACACGCCAAGAUGUUCUAAACUGAAAUUGUGGUUAAGUUGUCAGAAGAGAGAGAGCCACAUCUUGCCUUCUGCCAUCUUACCUUUCUUCUCUAUUCAUCCACCUUCUCAGGUGCACAUCCUUCCUUGCAGCCAGGCUUGUGUCCAUCCUGGGGGAUAUUUUCCAGAAGCUGGUGGAUGUGUGAUGAUCUCCCAUGAGCACAGUAACUGCUCACAGCCCAGCACUGCUGUGUGCUUUUCUUUUCCACCUCUCUGCAGGUCCUCUCCAGAGC
rnacentral:lncRNA from 1 species